UCAGUGCAUUCUCCCUGUAGAUUAUGGAU
rnacentral:piRNA from 1 species